rnacentral:rRNA from 1 species
UACAGAGGUCCCAAGCGUUGUUCGGAUUCACUGGGCGUAAAGGGUGCGUAGGCGGCCGGGUAAGUCUGAUGUGAAAUCUUGCGGCUCAACCGCGAAACUGCAUUGGAUACUAUCCGGCUAGAGGAAUGGAGGGGAGACUGGAAUACUUGGUGUAGCAGUGAAAUGCGUAGAUAUCAAGUGGAACACCAGUGGCGAAGGCGAGUCUCUGGACAUUUCCUGACGCUGAGGCACGAAAGCCAGGGGAGCAAACGGG